GUGCCAGCAGCCGCGGUAAUACAGAGGGUGCAAGCGUUAAUCGGAAUUACUGGGCGUAAAGGGUGCGUAGGUGGUUUAUUAAGUCGUAUGUGAAAACCCUGGGCUUGACCUAGGAAUUGCAUAUGAAACUGAUAGGCUAGAGUGCAGUAGAGGGAAGUGGAAUUUCCAGUGUAGCGGUGAAAUGCGUAGAUAUUGGAAGGAACAUCAGUGGCGAAGGCGACUUCCUGGACUGUUACUGACACUGAGGCACGAAAGCGUGGGGAGCGAACAGGAUUAGAUACCCGGGUAGUCC
rnacentral:rRNA from 1 species